rnacentral:rRNA from 1 species
GGCGAGUGAAGCGGUAACAGCUCAAAUUUGAAAUCUGGCCUCACGGUCCGAGUUGUAAUUUGUAGAGGAUGCUUCGAGCAUGGUCUGGCCUAAGUUCCUUGGAACAGGACGUCAUAGAGGGUGAGAAUCCCGUAUGCGGCCAGGUGCCUACGCUCAUGUGAAGCUCCUUCGACGAGUCGAGUUGUUUGGGAAUGCGGCUCAAAAUGGGUGGUAAAUUUCAUCUAAAGCUAAAUAUUGGCCAGAGACCGAUAGCGCACAAGUAGAGUGAUCGAAAGAUGAAAAGCACUUUGGAAAGAGAGUUAAACAGUACGUGAAAUUGUUGAAAGGGAAGCGCUUGCAACCAGACUUGCGCGCGGCCGAUCAUCCGGUGUUCUCACCGGUGCACUCGGCCGUGCUCAGGCCAGCAUCGGUUUUGGCGGCUGGAUAAAGGCCCUAGGAAUGUAGCUCCUCUCGGGGAGUGUUAUAGUCUAGAGUGCAAUGCAGCCUGCUGGGACCGAGGACCGCG